rnacentral:lncRNA from 1 species
UCCAAAAAUAAAACCUGGUCCCGUCCAUGAUGGCGAUGACCUAUUGCACAACCGCCGCCGCCAAAGGGUAGGCAGAUAAAUGCUCCAAGCCUCCAACCCAGGUUGGGUAUUCACUGUCCUCUUUGACUGAUGUAUACAUUAUAUUCUAAAAUCAAUCCAAAAACGUGUACUCUUGAAUGAGCAUACCAGGUGAAGAAAAAGAAGGUUGAUGGGUUCUUUGAACAUGUUUCUCCAUCUUGAGCAAGGAUGGAUAUGGGAGUGCAUGGAGAUGAUUGCAGCCUCAAAAGUUAAAAAAUAUUUACUAAUUAUAUUAUAAAUUUUAAUAUAAUACAAAAAUUAUAUAGACUAACCCCCAAAAUUUUUUAAAAAUAAUUUUAAAAUUAUAGAAAUUAACCCUCUUAAAAAUCCUGGAUCUCGAGUUUUUCAAUUCCUUUGACCGCCCUUAAAUUUCCAGAACAUAAAACCCUAAUUUCUACCCCAAAUCUUAUAAAUCUCCUAGAUUAAACCUUUGAUUCAACUAUCUAACUUCACAAUCUCGAACUUUUUCUUUGAUUCUUUAUGUGUAUUAACUCAGAUGAGGCCAUUUUUUGAUUGAAUUAUUUUUAGGGCAGUUUAUGGUGAAGUUUUACAUGAAUAAAGCAAGAAAUCCAUGAUCGUCCUCUUCUUCAAGGUCGAUUUUGGCUCGGUCGAUCACAUGGAGCUUUCAUGAAUUCCAAGUUUGGACCGGAGAGGAGGAUUGUCAAGCAUAGAGUGGUCGGCCUAUAAUUUUGUGUGAUUUAUCAUGGUUUGAAGAGUGAGAAAGGUGAUUGAAGAGAGAGAAUAGUAG